CUCAGAACUCACAUGCUUCUGGCAAGGUAAUUGAUCUUCUAUGAUUAUUUCAUUGUAUUAACUGGGUACUGGAUUAAAUACACACUAUUUAUAUGAUAUCUUUGUCUCUAAGCACAUGAAGCCUUCCAUCAUAAUCAAAGAUUCUCUUCUAUGUAAGUCAAAACAGAAGCAAGAAAGAAGGACACUCAAAUCAGGUUCUUCACAUCACAUAAUAAAACAUAAAAAACGUUACUGCUCACAGUGUUUACUACAAAAAAAUGCAAAACUGGAAAAUGAACUUUAUGAACUUGAAAAGAAAUAUGCUGAAGUAAAAAGUGUAACAUCAGAGCUUAAAAAGGAAAAUGUAGCAUGGAAACAAGAACUUCAAAAUAUGAGGGACAAGUUAAAUGAAAUAACAAAUGAAGAUAAUAAAGGAAUUAAAAAGAAACCUGAAACAUCUGUCAGAAAAUUUGAUACAGAAUUAAAUAUUACAGCAGAUGAAUUUAAUCAGGUUUCACAGUUGGAAAUGACAACCAGUGACCUAGAAAAUGAGAUUGGUCAGAAAAGAGAUACUCUCAGAGUAAGGACUUUGGUUUCAGAACAAGAAAAAAGACAUACAUAUCAAAAUGAACAAAGGGAAAUGGAAGAACACAUCAGAAAGCAGGAAUCUAUUAGAGAGAGGAGAAUAUGUAGACUCCAAAGUGAAAUUACACAGCUUCAACAGGAAUUUCAUGACCUUAAAAACAAAGUUGAAAAUCAAAUCGAUACAUUCACUCAUAACCAAAACCAAUGUUUUGACAUUAUAAGACAAUUGCAAGCUCAGAAUGAAAGAUACCGUCUCUUUCUGGAAAGCAGAAAUAUGAGGUUAAUCCAUGAAAAUAGUCUUUUACAAAAAGAUAGCAGUAUGAAAAGAGAAAGCAGAAAAUGAAGGUAAGUAUCAAGCAAGUAAACUAUUUGAAUUGUCUUUGAAGGGGCACUCAAAGUGAUAUUUGUGUAUGGCUAAAUGUUGCAUCUAGGUGAAUGUAAAAAUUCAAAUAUUAUAAACACAUUUUCUGUCUCAACACAGAAACAUAACUGAUUUCCAGCAAAUACAACUUAGACCUCAUUGAAGUGAUAAGUCUUCCAAUUUCCCUGAUCUGAUUGUUAUACAGUGUGUGCCCAUUUUGAAAUAACACUCUACCUCAUAAAUGUGUACAGUUAUAAGCCAAUUAAGCACAGAAGACUUAGAGUUACAUAGAACUCAUUUUAAAAUUUAAGAAAAAAAAUAUUGAAAACCUUGGACCUAAUAGAUACUUCAUUUUGAGUAAAGAAUUGUAAAGUUUUAAGAGGUUGAAUUAUAGAUUUUCAGUAGCUAUAUAUGCUGACAUUCAUAAUAUAUUCUCAAUAAUGUUGAAACAAUAUCUAUAUUUGUUGCUGAUAAUUGAACCCCCAAAGCUUUGCACAUGAUAAUCACAUGAUCUACCACUGGAAUACACACCAUCCCCAUGUCUUCCUGUUGCCAAACUUUAAGACCAUGAGGAAAUAGAUAAAUGGAAAUGCUUAUACCUAAUUGCAAUUAACAUUUCAUUACAGAUUUCCCAGCCGAACUGAAAUGCAGAUGCUGUAUUUCAUGAUAUAUUUCUUUCACUAAAUGUUAUAUAUUUCUAGUUGGUAGAUUUAAUUGUAUUCAUGUCAAAUUGAUUUAAAUCAAAAAAAUAGCUG
ensembl:lncRNA